rnacentral:rRNA from 1 species
AGUGAACGCUGGCGGUAGGCCUAACACAUGCCAGUCGAACGGCAGCACAGGAGAGCUUGCUCUCUGGGUGGCGAGUGGCGGACGGGUGAGGAAUACAUCGGAAUCUGCCCAGUCGUGGGGGAUAACGUAGGGAAACUUACGCUAAUACCGCAUACGACCUUCGGGUGAAAGAGGGGGAUCGAAAGACCUCUCGCGAUUGGAUGAGCCGAUGUCGGAUUAGCUAGUUGGCGGGGUAAUGGCCCACCAAGGCGACGAUCCGUAGCUGGUCUGAGAGGAUGAUCAGCCACACUGGAACUGAGACACGGUCCAGACUCCUACGGGAGGCAGCAGUGGGGAAUAUUGGACAAUGGGCGCAAGCCUGAUCCAGCCAUACCGCGUGGGUGAAGAAGGCCUUCGGGUUGUAAAGCCCUUUUGUUGGGAAAGAAAUCUUUCAGGCUAAUACCCUGGGAGGAUGACGGUACCCAAAGAAUAAGCACCGGCUAACUUCGUG